UCCGGAGUGGGUGCUAAGGUGUAAGUGCUAAAGAAAGUAUCUAUGUACGUAUGUAAGUGGUAAAGUAACUAUGGUCCUUCGAGCCAUUCUGAAUGGCACUAUGGUGAAAAACUAGCAAACUAGUUUAACUAAAAAUAUAAAAAAAGAGAAAGGAAGUACUAAAGAAAAAAUUGGUGACAAGAUGACAAAAAUUUGAUAAAUAACUAAAAAGUGCUUAGUGGAAAACAUACAAGUGUAGUGAAACAGAAAACAGGUACAAAUACAAAGUGCUAAAGUGCUCGAAAAUUGAAAAAGAGCAUAGUGAAAAGAAAAUAUAUAUAUUUAUGUUAUAUACAUAUAAGUGUAAGUGAAAAAAAGAGGGAAAGUGCAUACAAAUAUACAAGUACAGCAUAACAAUAACAAAGUCAUUAUUGCGUGCUGGCGCAAACCCUACAGCGAAGUUUAGAGCAAAAAAAAAAGCAAAAAUAUAUACAUGCACACAUAUAUAAAUCAUUUGCCUAACAUAUAAGUAACAGUGCGGUGGCAAAAAUUAGCAGUUAUAAAAAACAAAAGAAAACGGGCGCGAAAUAUAAAUAAUAUAUAUAUAUUAUAAUAUAUAUAUAAUCAAACGAAUACGGGCGCGCAUCAAAAAGCAAUAUAUGUAAUUAAUUACAUAUUAAUAUAUAAAUCGGGCGCGGAAUAAAAACACAAACAACAACAAGCCAGCAAGCAAGGAACCCACCGAACUAUCCGAGGGCAGGAUUACAGGGAGAAAAACUUUCCGACCCACACUUUGGCCAACACUAAUCCCCAAAAUCCCAUGACGGAUAUCAAAGUGAGUCCUAUCGAUUCCUUUUAAUAUUUCAUUUUUCAUUUCUCAAUUUCUGCAUAUACAUAUGUAUAUUAUUACGAUGAAAUUUUGUGACAAGUUGAUUUAACUUUCAUAGAAUAACUCAUUAAGUUAUUCUCACUUUAUUUAUUGGUUUUGCAAAAAAAAAUACCGGUUAUCAAACAGUUAUAAGUAACUUUUGGUAAAAACGGAAAUACUGCAAAGAAAACAGUUGGGUAUAACCGACAAUAUAUACAUAUAUGUAUUAUAUAUAUAUAUGUAUUAUAUAUAUUAUAUAUAUAUAUAUUAGGGUGUGUCAUUCUGAGGCAACCUUUUAUUUUCAACUGAAAAACAGGCUCUAAACUUUCGAAAAUGUGUAAAGAAAAGUCACUCAAAAGAUGAGCUCUUAAUAUUAAUAUUAAGAGGUGCCUCUUUCAAAUUUUCUGUUUUCCAUAUAAAUAACAUGAAAAAAAAUCAUUUUUUUUUUGUGGUGGUUAUUGUGCGGAGGUUUUAUAUGUGCACGCGAUGGCUGCCAGUAGGGAUGGUAAACUCAAUUCCGGUUCUACUCGAGAAUCGAGUUUUCUCGUUAAAAAAUCGAUUUUUCAGAAUCGAUCUUCAGUAGUCGAAGUCGAUUAAGAAUCGGUUCUUGACAUUCGAAAAACACAUCUGCGUUCGAUCUGUGUGAAUUCGUUUCGCCCAUACACUCCACACAAAUCCAUUUUGGAUUCGUUCUUCACAUAGUGAACACGUGCAACAGGCAAACGGAACAUUUCUUCAAAAUUCAUUUCUGAUGUAGCACUUUUAUCGAUUUCUUUGUAUUUAUUAUAUUAUAUAUAUAUUAUUAAUAAGUUAUUCCAACUUUUAUUUUUCUCAAUUUUAUUCUUAUAACGGGUGAUUUUUUUGAGGUUAGGAUUUUCAUGCAUUAGUAUUUGACAGAUCACGUGGGAUUUCAGACAUGGUGUCAAAGAGAAAGAUGCUCAGUAUGCUUUGACAUUUCAUCAUGAAUAGACUUACUAACGAGCAACGCUUGCAAAUCAUUGAAUUUUAUUACCAAAAUCAGUGUUCGGUUCGAAAUGUGUUUAUCGACAAAUUUUGUUCAGCGAUGAGGCUCAUUUCUGGUUGAAUGGCUACGUAAAUAAGCAAAAUUGCCGCAUUUGGGGUGAAGAGCAACCAGAAGCCGUUCAAGAACUGCCCAUGCAUCCCGAAAAAUGCACUGUUUGGUGUGGUUUGUACGCUGGUGGAAUCAUUGGACCGUAUUUUUUCAAAGAUGCUGUUGGACGCAACGUUACGGUGAAUGGCGAUCGCUAUCGUUCGAUGCUAACAAACUUUUUGUUGCCAAAAAUGGAAGAACUGAACUUGGUUGACAUGUGGUUUCAACAAGAUGGCGCUACAUGCCACACAGCUCGCGAUUCUAUGGCCAUUUUGAGGGAAAACUUCGGACAACAAUUCAUCUCAAGAAAUGGACCCGUAAGUUGGCCACCAAGAUCAUGCGAUUUAACGCCUUUAGACUAUUUUUUGUGGGGCUACGUCAAGUCUAAAGUCUACAGAAAUAAGCCAGCAACUAUUCCAGCUUUGGAAGACAACAUUUCCGAAGAAAUUCGGGCUAUUCCGGCCGAAAUGCUCGAAAAAGUUGCCCAAAAUUGGACUUUCCGAAUGGACCACCUAAGACGCAGCCGCGGUCAACAUUUAAAUGAAAUUAUCUUCAAAAAGUAAAUGUCAUGAACCAAUCUAACGUUUCAAAUAAAGAACCGAUGAGAUUUUGCAAAUUUUAUGCGUUUUUUUUUUAAAAAAAGUUAUCAAGCUCUUAAAAAAUCACCCUUUAUUUAUUACUUUUCGUUUGCCAUAUUGCCAAUUGAUUUUUUAUAAGAUCAAUAAAUUCUGAUACGAAAUCUUUAUAAGGGGGGAGCCUGCUUUAGAAGCUUCAAACAAACGAUUUAUUUUUUGUGCUUAAAUCUCUUUAAAAAGUAUCUAACAAUAUUUCCCCAAAGUUAUAGAUUGGAAUUCGAAAUAUUGUCGAAGCUAGAAGGGAAAUAGUGACCGAGCGUCUAACAGGUAUAUGAGCGAAAUUUUACACUUUUUUUUGAAUUUUCUUAGUUUAACUAAAAGAUAAAUGAUUAAAAAAUCACUUGAAUCAAUUAUUUCUUUCCCUCCCAAAAAAUCGAUUUUUUGAAGCUUCUAAAGCAAGCUACCCCUUUACCCUUGCCAUUGUACGUCCGCGACAUUCACUGUUCAGCGACACGAGAGAAAUGAGAUUUUGUCCGCACACAACGCCAUACACGAAACACAUGUGCGCGCACCGAUCGUAAAAAAUCAAACACUUUUGCGAACAUGGAUCGGCACGAGCACAAGCCCAUACACGAGUAAACCGCACGCGCACACAUACCGCACUUGUGUGUCGUGUAUGGGCAUUUUUACGUAGGAGCAAUAACCGGUCGACUACACGUUCGCUAAGAAAUAUCCGUCUUGCAGGGUAUAUGAAAAAGGCAUAAUAACAAAUCCCUACUAUGAAUUAUAUAAGAAGGAAUCGAUUUACAGUAAAUAAUAACCUUAUUUUAUAACAACAAUCUACUAUAUAGACGGUUAUAGAAAAAAAGUUACAACACUAAAUAUGUCUGCCCAUAUAAUUUAUAUAUUAAGGUAUAUUCAUUUGUUAGAGGUUAAACAAUGAUGAAAAUAAAAUAAGCAGGCCUAUCUACUGCUAACAAAUGGGUAACAAUUAAGCUAGGAAUGUUUGUAUUAUAUAGGUAAAAACUGUUAACCCAAACAGAAGCCCUCUUUUCUUAUAACUGUUAAGAUUAACAUAUUGGUAACUCAUUUCCUAGCACAGGAGGUAAAACAUAGCUAGAAUAGAAAAGAAUAGAAUAUUUUUAAUUGAGGUAAUGCACCGCGACCUAGGGUCUAUUGUGUCCUCUCCUAUAUCACUUGACCUCCCAGAGCCCCAGUAGCCUUAACAGUUCCAGUAGCUUUCCGGGCUCUAGUGAGGUGAUGUGAUCCCUGCUGAUAUAAACGGAAUCCAGGGCCUUGAGCCUUUUUCCACAGAUUGCUGUGCAAUCUAGGAUUAGGUGAGCUGGUGUUUCCUGUUCCGGGUCGCAGAACCGCCAGUUAGCGCAGGAGACCAUGCCCAUGUUGGACAGGUGCUUCCUGAGCUUACAAUGCCCUGUGUAGAUUGAAACGAGGAGACGGAGUGUCUCACCGGGGAGGUUAAUUAAUUCUUUAAACCUGGAGCGGUUAUACCCACCUAGAAGCAGCUUGGCGUGGCUGCACAAGGACAACGUCCGGUGUGUUUUACGUGGGUACCACGGCGCUCAAAAGCACAGCGGAUCAAAUCAAUGCGUUGAUCAGCGCCCUGAGAAUGCUAAGCAUUUUCAGUACCAAUUGGCAGUGUGGAAUGGAUACACUAACCACCUUGGUCGGGUUCGAGGCCCAUCUAAAACCUCUGCCGUGCUUUGGGUCCGGCACCCGGUUGCAAUGCAACUCCACAUUCAACUGAAAAGUCAGGUCUUCCCAUCCUUGACUUGCGUCACAUAUCUGAUGCCUACCCCGUUCACACGGACAAUCGGUGGACGAAACGGCGACAAUCUACCUUUCAGCAGCAUUGCCAACGUUUUGUCCAUCGAUAUGUCAACCCCCACACCUAAACCCCAAGAAUUAACGAUCUCUAAGAGAUCUCCUCCCGCCCGUUCUAAUUCCAACCUUUAGCGACCUUCAACCAUAAGAAGAAGGUCGUCCGCAUACGCGCAACAUUUACAGAGUGGCUCGAUAUGCCCAAGCAGAGUGUCCAUCAUAAGGUUCCAAAUAUAUGGACCACAGAUCGAACCCUGCGGGCAGCAUCGGACAACUCCAAUCUCCACAUUCCCAUUCAUGUCGACAAGAGAGGCCUUUCUGUCCGAAAAAUAACUCCGCCAAAGAGUAAUUUCCGGACAGCCAAGCUCCUCCAGCCGUUGCAACACUCGAUCCCAGCUUAGGUAGUCAAAUGCUCCCUUGAAGUCAACAAAUAUGCCAAGGACAUACUUGUUGACAUUCUCUCUAACGACAUUCUGCACAAAAAACCACUCGUCCUCUAUACUGCGUCCUUUCCUGAACCCAAACUGCCUACCCGACCACAUACCCCGCGUUAGCUCCUGAAACCGGUCCACCACGACUCUUUCUAGCACUUUUCCAAGUAUUGGAAGGAGACUGAUGCCCCGAUAAGAUCGAGGAUCGCUCCUGACCUUAUUAGGGGACUUCAGGAGAGGAACAACCCUAGCACUUUUCCAAUCGCGUGGAAAGUAUUCCUCCCAGGCGCACUUAUUAUAAAUGGCCUCCAGGUAUUCCGGAAUGAACUUCCGUAAGCUUUUACACAUCUCUCCGUUCAAAUCAUCAAAACCUGGGGACCGUUUAGACCUAACCAGGCCAAAGGCGUACCCCAACCCCCAUCAUCUAAUGGAGGGACAGGCGCCUCUUGUGCUUGAGGUACCUGCACCUCCGUCCUAGGAAAGAACACACCUAACAGAACCCCCGCACACUCUCACCACGACGAUAACAAAGUGUCACCGAGGCGAAAAGAGGUGAUAUCGUCCCUCCUAUGACCCCUGCAGAUCCUAUAGACCUGACCCCAGGGGUCGUUCCUAUCCUCUCUAACAAAACUCCUCCACUCUUCCUCUUUAACUUUAACUAAGUAACAUCUCUUUAUACUCCCUAUCCGCACAACUAAAUUCAUACCUAAGCUGGGACAGCCUAUCAGAAUUGGACCGUCGGGCGCGUUGAAACUUUCGCCUCAAACGCCUGACAGUCCUCCUCUUCAAGGUUAACUCACGCGUCCACCAUUUAAUUUUACUAAUCUUACGACUUUCACACCUCCUAAAUACCCUAUCAUUUAACCCCCAAACUACCCCGUAUAGACGAGCAAUUUGCUCGUCAACCCCCAACUCCUCAAACUCACUAAGCGGUAUAUCGGAUACCGCUUCCCUAACCAAGAGUCCAUAUUGGUUCCAGUCAGUACCAGUGGUACGCCAUCGCCGCAAUGGACUCUCAUAAGGUGAGGGAGGGGAUCGAGGGGUAACCAUAAUUUGAAGCAAAUUAUGGUCACUCAAUCCCCACCCUCCCCUAACCUCCCAUCUAACAAUGAAAGCCCUACUUGCUGCCUCAUUCAUAAGCGUCACGUCAAUGUCGCUCACGCCCCCAGGCCCAUCGAAUGUAUACCAUUCGCUCGGUUCAUUCAAAAUGUGGAGGCUAUUAGCCACCACCCAUUCGCUUAAUGCCUCGCCUCGACUGUGGCUUUGAUAUCCCGACGAAUGCCGGGAUACCUUACUAAACCACAUCGAUAACCAACCCUAGGAUAAAUGGGCUGGCCUUCCCUUAAACUCACAGUGCAUUGCAUUGACGCAACUGGCAGCUUUGUGGCCUUCCUGACCGCACCUCCGGCAGACAUCUUAUCUAGCCCUACAUUCAGCCACCCUAUGGUCAAAUCCCAUACAGCGAAAGCAUCCAGCGACGGGGCUAUUCGGUCGCACCCUGAAGGAGAACCACUUUAUGUAGUACCGACCUGCCUCCAAGAGGGCGGACAUCAAUUUGUCCGGAUCCUCAAGGACGACAUUGGUGCUACCGUCAGCGUCCACCUUCCAGGGACGACUGACCAUCCUCACGUCAGUCCUCUGGGAUGCCGGGCUGAAGUCCUGGAGGUUCAGCCGGAGAAGUUCCUCCAUGAAUUCUUCAUGGGGGAUCUCCGUAUGGACCCCUUGGACCACCACCCGACGACCCAACUUCCGGUUGACAGAGACGUCCAACCCCACCUCCUCGAAUUUUUUGUUAUUCGCGACUCUCUCCCUCUCUAGGACGAAGGGAAUGCGAAUAACCGCCCCACCACCCUUGAUAGGCCUAACCUCGUGGAUCCUCACACCAAGUGAGGGACCCACCUCCUUCACUACGUUUUUAAUCACCUCUUUGGAGGAAGUUGCAGACCCCUUACUCCUGACAACGACCGACCAAGUCUCCACAGGCUUCGGCGUCACCGGUGCAAUAGCUUCCAGCACAGGUGCUGGAGGUUGCACAAGGACAGGCGGUUUAGCCUUUCUGUGCAUUCCUCGACUAAAAGCGAUUUGGUCUCGUAUGAUGAGAUCGCCUUUAGUGCCGCUUGAUUAUCGCUGAAAAUAGCUAUGCGCUGGUUGCGAUAGUUGCGGCUGUGGUUGACUUCAGCGCACUGACUAAUGGCAAAAACUUCAGCAUGAAAGAUACUUGGGAAGCAGCCCAUAGGUAUGGACAACUUAGUACGCGGUCCCGCAAUACCUGCCCCAAUACCUUCCGGUGUUUUUGAGCCAUCAGUGUACCACUGAAUGGUACUGUCUUCCAGCAGCCUUUUGAGCGUGGAAUCAUUCCACUCCGUCUUGCUGCCUAGAGUUACUUUAAAAUUCUUCUUGAGGUUAAUUUUCUUCGUUGUGCCGUCCCUUGGGAAGAGGGCCAGCGGUGUGCUUUCCGCUAGAGCGUCCAUCUGUUUAGAGAACAUUAUCUUCCCUCUUCCGUAGCCUUCUGCUGACAUUAGUAGCAUGGUGUGCUUUGCUGCUAGAUUGAUCACCUGAUGCAGCGGUGUGAGCUCAAGUAUGACUUCCAGUCCCGCCGUGGGGCAUGUGCGCAUUGCCCCCGAAGCACAAACACAUGCAAGUCUUUGCAGGUUUGACAGUUUCCGAAUCACCGUUUAGUGAACGGUGGUUUUUGCUGGGUUGAUAUUUAGCCCUACCGUGUUGCACCAAGUUUAAGCCCCUUUGAACGAUGUCACAGAGAGUGUUCUCAAAUCUGCCUCUCGCCAUUAUGACAAUGUCGUCCGCGUACCCUUGGCAGCGGAUUCCAUUGCUGGUGGGCCACGCGAGUAGUUCGUCUACUAUCAGGCUCCAUAGCAGAGGGGAUAAAACUCCACCCUGUGGGCAGCCCCUCGUGGUGACAAGACGAAUCCUGCUUUCUCCCACUGUUGUUUCUGCUACCCUAGUGCGCUUCUAUCCAUCGUUCCUUCUCUCGAGUGCCUUGAUCACGCUAGUGUGAGACGCAUUAUCAAAGCCGCCCUCAAUGUCUAGGAAGGCGCAGAUCGCAACCUCGUAAUUAUCCAGCGAAUCCUGCAGCUCAGACGUCAGUUGGUACAGAGCAGUAUUUGUGGAUCUACCCGCUCUGUACGCGUGUUGUCUGGCAUGUAGGGGUGCGACCUUCACCGCUUCAGAUCUGAUAUGGUUGUCUAUUACUUUUUCCAUCCCCUUCAGCAUGAAGGAAGUCAUAUUAUAGCUAAGAUAUUCGGUAACAAAUGCUUGUUUACAUCUAACAGGUACAUAUGCAUAUGCCAUACACAUAGAAGCGGUGACAUAGCAUUUAACAACCAAUUAUAAUUGUAAUUUUAAAGAUUAAGAACUUCUAAGGGGCAUUGAGUUACUUUUUUCCACUCGCUGAACAAAAUUAACAAUUUUUUUAACUAAUGCUCAAGAGAAGAGUAAAAACCAGCUAAUAGCACGUACAGACGUCAGCGCUACACCUUUGCCUCCUUUGUGUUUACAGCAUCAGAGGUAAACAGUUUUUAAUUAAGUUUUGCUAAUUAAAUUAUGUGCAAGUAUACCUCUCCCCUCCGAUGCCCGGGCGAGGUCGGAGGUAUAAAUCGCCUUCUCUCCGUAUACCGGCUCUGCGGACGAGUGACCAACCCUUUCCGGAUUACUCGUGGGACCAAAACAUGAAUGUAACAAACAACUUAACAACAACAACAACAACUACAACAACAACCAUGACGACGACAACAGCGACGACUACGGACAUGAAUUAUAGGAAUCCGAUCACGGAAUCCGUAGAGGACGAAUUGCUUGCCUCCAGCCAGGAGACAAGUAAGAGUACUACCGGACGUACCAACCAAAGUACACCGGUAGAUACAGCAGACAAACCAUCAAACUUAAAGUAGGAGGCGUCCACCUCCAAGGCUGCCAUGAGCACCAACCAAAGUGCACGGGCGGCUAAAGACAGCAGAAAGAAACGAAAAAAAUCCCAGAAUCAGCUGAGGAAAAACCGGUACCAGAGGGCGGUCUUCAUACUAGGGAAGAUAGCCAAAGAUCAGGCAGCCGGUACCCCAGUUGAUGAGGCUGAAACAAAGCGCCUCAAAUCUAUGCAGGUCCUAUAUGCAGGUGGCCAUAAUAGAUGGGAAAUCCUCCUCUCCGAGCACUAUUCAGGAGAGAUGGGUGGAGAUAGAUGUCAGAUUGUCGAGUAUGGUGCUAAGCUAUGUACUCGACAAUCCUGCGGGUCCCCACCCGGAGUUUGACUCCUUUGAGACCCUCAGGGGCUACAGGGUCAUCAAGUGCGCGGACCAGGCCUCGCUGGAUUUUCUGACGGGUAGUGUUGCUAAAAUUAGCAACGCCUUUGUAGGCCUCCAAUUGAGGCUUAUACCCGCCAGGGAUAUUCCAAAGAGGCCUCGGGCUCGCAUUUGGUUACCCCCACUAGAGGAGCCAGGCGAAAAACUCCUGAGGUGCAUUAAGCUGCAGAAUAAAUCUAUACCUGGUAUAGUUGAGUGGCAGCUUAUAAAGGAGGAAAACCCGAACAAAUCAAGCAAGCCAAUACUAGUAGCCAUUUGUGAUGAGUCCAUUGAGGCUCUGAAGAAGACUGACAACAAAAUCAGCUUCGGAAUACGCAAGGCAAGAAUAAAAAUCUUCCAAGGCGACAAAGCGGCUGACGAAGACGACACGGAAGAGGUCGACGACGCCAGCCAGUUGCUAAGGAAUGUGGGCAUUGAAGAACCCCGAGAUGCCCAAUAACAACAACAUAAGAUGCGUACAGAUUAACCUGCAGCACUCGAAGAGUGCUACAGCGAAUCUGACAACCCUCGUGAACGAGGGGGGCAUCGACAUCAGCCUAAUACAGGAGCCCUGGGUCAAUGAAGACUCCAUAAAAGGACUAAAUAGCAGCAAUUAUAACCUGUUUUACACGCGGAACAGAGGUAAACCUCGGGCAUGAAUUCUUAUCAAUAAAAGUAUAAAUGCAUUUCUUUGUCCUAAUUACAGCACAGCAGAUAUCACAGUGGUGAAAGUGGAACAGAAGGAAAAGCCCUUCUUCUUGGUCUCGGCCUACUUGGCCCAUGACGAAGAUAUACCACCGGCCCCGCUCACCAAGCUAGUAGAGGGGAACAAGAAGGAUGAUGUCCUAAUAGGGUGUGAUGCAAAUGCAAGGCACACCGUAUGGGGUAGCUCCAGUAUAAACACCAGAGGUGAGUCACUCUUGCAGUAUAUUUUGAACAGUAAGCUAAGUAUUUGCAACAAGGGAGAUAAGCCAACCUUUAUUUUCCCAAGCUCGGAUAGGUUCCCGGGGUGGGAGGAAGUUCUAGACCUCACGCUAUCAACAGACACAGACAGUCUCGUUGUGGAUAACUGGAGGGUGUCCGAUGAGCCUUCCAUGUCGGAUCACUCCUGGAUACUCUUCAGCAUCCGCGAGAGGUACAUUGCGCCUCUCACAUACCGGAACCCUAAAAGAACGGCAUGGGGAAAAUUUACCCGUAUAGCAACAAAAUGCCUCGAAAAGGGAGGCUAUAAGAGUAUCUGAAAUCCAGAGGAACUAGAUUCAGAAGUAGAGAAGUUGGAAAAAAUCCUAAUCACAACUUUUAAUAAAUCUACUCCGCUAACAGUUUUGAAAAAGAGAAAGUCUCUUCCUUGGUGGAACAGUGAACUCAAGAAUUUGAGAACACAACUAAGCAAAGCUUUCAAUGAGAGUUUUAGAACUAAAAUAUGGCAGCCAUAUAAAGACCUUAUGAAGGAAUACAAAAAAGCAGUCAGGAAAGCUAAAAAUGACUCAUGGCGAGCUUUCUGCACAUCGAUUGAAAGUUACAGAGAAACCGCUAGGCUGAGUAAAAUGCUAUCCAAAGACCAUAUUAAUACUGCCUACAUUAGGGCGGAGGGAAGUGAUUGGACCUCCUCGGCAAAAGAGUCUCUGGAGGUACUAAUCAAAACACACUUCCCCGGGAGUCAGGAAACACCUUCAACGAGGGUUCAACCGGAACCACCGGUGAACGCAGCUGACUAUCGAAGCCAAAUAGUAGACAAAAGAAAAAUCAAAUAUGCCAUAAAUAGUUUUGCACCAUUUAAAGCGGCAGGUCCUGACGGGAUUAUGCCCAUAAUGCUGCAAAAACUGGUAGAACCAAUGGUUCUAAGGCUUGAAAAUAUAUACAAAGCGAGCAUUCAACUAUCUUACAUCCCAAGAAGUUUGAAAAGGAGUAAAGUUGUGUUCCUUCCGAAACCAGGCAGAAGAACACAUGAGAAUGCCAAGGAUUUUAGACCUAUAAGCCUUACCUCAUUUAUGCUGAAGGUACUAGAAAGGCUAAUAGAUCUACACGUAAGAACAAUAAUGGCGGGGAAGUUAUCGAAGUCCCAUCAUGCGUACAUAAAGGGCCGAUCAACCGAAACCGCCCUUCACGAGGUGAUAAGUGUGAUUGAAAAAUCACUACACCUCAAACAAUACACCAUGGCUGCUUUUCUAGACAUAGAGGGCGACUUCAAUAACAUAGAAGUAAAUGCGAUAAUUAAUUCUCUGGCGCAUGGUGGCAUAGAUGACACUGUGAGCAGAUGGAUACUAUCGAUGCUUGAGAAUAUGAAGAUUAUAGCUUCAAACGGCGCUGCAACACAAACAAGUUAUGUGAGUAGAGGGACGCCUCAAGGGGGGGUCCUCUCUCCGCUUCUAUGGGUUGUAGCGCUGAACGAAAUACUCCUCCAACUAAACGGUGGAGGAGUGAAAGCAGUAGCGUAUGCAGACGAUAUAGUGUUGUUGGUAUCAGGUAUGUUUCCUUCAACAGUCAGCGAGAUUAUGGAAAGAGCACUUCGUAGGUUAAACCUAUGGGCUAAAAGCAAUGGUCUAGGAGUUAACCCGAACAAAACAGAACUGAUGCUAUUCACGAGCAGAACCAAAAUACCUCAGUUUCAACUUCCGGUACUAAACGGCACAACACUCACUCUAUCCCCAACAGCUAAGUAUUUGGGGGUGGAGAUUGACGCCAAACUGUCCUGGAAAAUAAAUAUAGAAAAAAGAAUAAACAAAGCAUACAUGGCCUACUAUACUUGUAAGAAAAUUGUCAACAAGAAUUGGGGCCUCAAACCAAGUAUAAUCAUGUGGAUGUACACGGCGGUCAUAAGACCCAUACUCACAUAUGGAGCUCUGGUAUGGUGGCCAGCGCUAAACAAACUGUACAACAUAAGAAAAUUAAAUGGAAUACAAAGAGCAGCAUGUGCGGGUGUUACAAGCGCAAUCAGGUCAUGUCCGACUGAUGCGCUCAAUGUGAUCUUGCAUCAACUACCAAUGGACAUUUUCAUUCAAAAAACAGCAGCUAUUGCGGCGAUGAGAAUAAAAGAAUUGGGAGGUUGGAAUCAGCAGAACUACGGACAUAGCGUAAUCCUAAACAAACUCACUAUUAAUAAAUCAGACUACAUUCUCCCAAAGCUGGAUUUCAAUAGGCACUUCCAGGUGAGAAUACCAUCUAGGCGAGAAUGGAGAAGAGGUUCAAUUGCAGAGGAGGGUACCACCUCAGUCUAUACCGACGGGUCCAAAAUGGACUGCGGAGUGGGCACGGGGGAAUUCUUCGCUGAUCUGGGCAUAUCUCUCUCUAUACGUCUACCGAACUCGGCUAGCAUCUUCCAAGCAGAAGUACUAGGCAUAGAAAAAGCCUGCGAAGUUCUAUUAGAAAACCACGGGAAUAUACAUAAAGCAACUAUAUUUACGGAUAGCCAGGCGGCCGUCCUGGCAUUGUCUUCACCCAUGACAAAUUCCAGUAUAGUCCACAACUGCAAGAGAGCGCUAAGCUCAAUAAAAGACAAGCUCCAGCUAAACUUGAUCUGGGUUCCCGGCCACAGGAACAUUUUCGGUAACGAAAAAGCAAAUGAGUUGGCAAAGGCAGGAGCUUUCCUCAAUGAAUCCGAGGCGGAGCUCAUACCGAGCCCGCUAGGAUCGAUCAAAGGAGAGAUCAAUAGACAAUUUCAACAAAUUGCUAACAACAGGUGGAAAAACACUACAAAAUUCGUCAUAGCUAAACAAUUAUGGCCAACAUACGACAGGAAAAGAACCAACGACGUAUUAAAUAGGUCAAGGAAAAGUAUAUACAGAAUAACAGCUACCACAACAGGGCACUGGCCAUUUGGGGAACAUGCGUCCAAAAUGGGUAUGCCCUACAACGACAUCUGCCGUGGCUGCGGAGUAGCAGGGAACAAGGAAACAAUCUUCCGCUUUCUCUGCGAAUGCCCAGCUCUGGCACAGAUCCGACAUAAAACACUCGGAAUCCACCAAGCACCAAACCUUGAAUGGAUUUCCACCAAAAGCAUAUCGGACAUAAGUAGUUUCAUCGAAACCUCAAAAUGGUUUGAGAGAGAAGGUGGAACGUAACAGCAGAUACAGGAGGUUCCACGAGCAGUGUAUCAAAAUGGCACAUCAGUGCUAAUUGAGCCCGAUAGGGCUGCACUCCUACCUACCUACCUAUACCUCUGCUAAUGGUAGGCACCUUGUCGCGGUGCAGAGGCUUAGUCGCAAGGGCGCCGCAUGCGGACGGCGACCAAGGACUACCACUUCCUAAUCCAGGGUGUCAUGCGACCCGUGCCCAUUGGAUGAUUUGCAGCUAGGAGGAACAUUCGGCUGUUCUCUAACGGAGCCUCCGCAACACCGGGCCGAAUUGGGGUGUAACUGUGGCCUUACCGCGCCAAGGGGCUCUGGCGUAGCGGACUCCCUAGUUCCCCAUUUAACAAGAAGACCCGACAGCUUACCCCGUUGAGCCAAGGGUCGUACGAACAAGAUGGAUACAAAUACAAAAACCAAAACAACAACAACAAAUCAAGAUGAAUCGACAACGCAACGAAUUAGGACAACGGAUACGGAACACGACAGGGAGAAGGUAAGAGCAGACGGAGCAGCUGGAGGCCGGGGAGGUCAGGGAGCCAAACGGAAGUUUAGCUACCUUGAUGCACUCUCGCCAGAGGAGCGGGCGCUGUUCGAGGAGCAUGCCAGGGAGGACGAAGACGACAUGCCCUCUAGCAGCGGCGUCCGCCGCUCAACAGACGUCAAUACCGCGGAUGCAGCCCAAAGCACCACCAGGACCCACCGAAAUAGGCCAAGCCACUCGGACUCGGGAGAGUCGCAUUGGGCAGAGGCCGGUGGCGCACGCAGGAGGAGAAGGAGGCACAGGAGGGGAGGGCAGAGAUCUCUCCCAACGGUGGACAAACCCGGCGGGUACGAUGACCCUCGGAAGAAGGCCAUGAGCGGUGCCUGCCUCAAGUGGUAUAUGCGGUACCUCCGGGAUGGGAUGACCCCCGAAUCGGCGGAAUCCCUGGCCAAGCGACGGUACGCGGACACCGCGAUAUCCCCAACAAGGGAACGUGGCAAGGCAGCGUCGGAAAGUGCGCAAGGCAGCCGGUCUAUAGACCGUGGCCAGGUUAGUGCACCACUGACCGAAACGCGCGGUGACGGGAAGGCGGUCACCUUUGCAGAGACCGUAAAGAGGAGAGCGGUCAACUGACACCACAGGCGCCCCCCCGUUCGAAAAGGCCGAGGGACAGCAGCAAGAGGGCCGAAGGACAACCGAGUCGGAGCAGCUCACGGUGCUCCAAAACCUCCUCCUAGAAGAGGUAGCCGGCGGAGCUGAAUACGCGGCGUCCUUCCUUGGGGUUGACUUUAGAGGUGGCAUGCUACAGGUGGACUGCAAUGACCAGGCGUCCGCCGACUGUCUGCGGGAAUUCACCCCAAAGUUAAGUGGCUGGACCGGUCCAGUCCUCUGUGCAAAAAGGGCGGAGGACCUGCCGGUCAUGCACAGGAUGACGGUGUUUCUCCAGCGCAGUGAUGACAAGCCGUACCAGUUUGCCCUGAACCUAAUCAAGAGCCAAAACCGGGGCCUUAGCAUCGCGGCCUGGCGAGUUGUUAGUAGCCAGUUGGAGGACAAAGGAGGACUACGAGGAUGGAGAUGGCAUGGCUUCCGCCUGUUUUACAGGUUCAGCAAGGUGGUCAUGAGGCCGCACAAACCAGUGACCACAGGAAGACUGCCACCCAGCCGAGUGGUAGCGCGUCAACACGGACAGGAACGAUGGCAAUCAAGGUGAUGGAGAGGAUGCAGUUGGACGCCGAGGCAAAACAACCGGGCGUGAGCAGGGUUGAGCAGACCACGAAGGUCGCUACCGCUGACGUCCUGGAUGCCCAGGAAACCGAGCUACCCUCCACCCAGGAACUCCUCGAGGGACUAGAGGACCACGACCCAGUGAACAGCAGCGCGAACGACGGAGGGGAUGUGGACAUGCCCCCCCUCGAGCCACUACCUUAAUGGCCGUCGACGUGGAAGUUGCCCAAGUGAACCUGCAUCACGCGGCGGGGGCCUCAGCAGUGAUUACGAGCAGGUUCACAGCGGAUAAGUUGGGCGUUCUGUUGAUCCAAGAACCUUGGGUCUACAAAGGAGAGGUCAAAGGCCUCAAGACGGAACAAAACAAGAGUUCCUGACGCAGGAUUUGGUGGCGGUACAGGCCAGAGACUGGGAGGGCAAAAGCUUCGUCUUGGCAUCAGCCUACUUCCCAGGGGAGACGGCAGCAGCACCCACUGAGGGAGUGAUUAGGCUCGUGGAGUACUGCAAGAGGCACAGGCUGUCCCUUAUCAUCGGAUGUGAUGCGAAUGCUCACCACGUGGAAUGGGGGAGCACGGAUUGCAACGCAAAGGAUAUACAAAAAUUAAUAAUGCAUUAGCAUUAAUUUUGUUCGUCUGUCAUGGCUUUUAGAUGUUUAGGUUAAAGUUAACGGUCUUGCUGUGAGUAUGUUGUGAUAUGGAUGGCAAUACAUGAAUAUUGCAUGCCAGUAUAUAUUGAACGUGUAUCUGGCUCUAUUGUAUCAGUGUAAUGAUACUAUAAAUUGAUUUUAUCGGAAUUUUAUAAUGUAGCAGAGUACAAUAAUAAAGUUUUUAAGAACUGGUCCGAUAAUAAAAAAUCAUAAUGCCAAAUUUGAAAGAUAAAUCGCAUAUUUCAAGGGGAAACUCUCAAAAACGUAGAUCUAAAUCUUCGAAUUACGCUGAAGUGGAUAUACAUAAAACUAAUUUUGUAUCAAUACCAAACACCAUUAAACUUAGUAUGCUGAAUAGUGGACUUCUUUCUUUUGAAAAAAUUAGGCUAGAGGCACGAGAUGAGAACAACUCUUUAUCAAAAACUAUACCUCAUUUUCCAAUAAGUAAAGCACAUUUUCUUAAGCUGUGUGAUUUGCGACGAAAAUUUCCAGUGCUUUAUAAAUUAGAGUUUCAAACAGCCACUAGAGUAGAAACAAAUAUGUGUAGACAUGCAUUAAGAAAAAAUAAUCAUGAUAAAAACCAGAAUUCAAAAUGCAUUCCUUACGAUUACAACCGCGUUGUACUAAAAAAGAAAGCAGCAGUUGCAGAUUCAGAUUACAUAAAUGCGUCUUAUGUUGAUAGUCUUCUAAAACCAAAUGCGUAUAUUGUUUCACAAGGUCCAGUCGAAGAAACUGUAAAUGCGUUCUGGCAAAUGGUGUGGCAAGAGAAUAUUAGUGCCAUCAUCAUGCUUACUAAAACCUUUGAUUUCGCUAAGGUAAUGUGUGUUCAGUAUUGGCCACCAAAUAUGGAAAUACAUGAAACGUAUGGUGAUAUACAUAUAAACAUUAUACAUGAGGAACAGCUAGCUAAUUUUCACAUCAGAACCUUUCAUUUGUAUAAAGUCAACGAACUCAAAGAAAUCGUUAAUGAACGUCUUAUACUACAAUUCCAUUACACGGAGUGGUAUUCUCAUUCAUGUCCUUUUUCAAAUGCACUUCUAGAAUUUAGGCGGCGGGUACGUUUGGUUGUUGGUAAUAUUAUUAAAGGUGACGAUAUUAAAGGACCGAUGUUAGUUCAUUGUAGCGAUGGAGGAGGUAGAUCUGGUGUGUAUUUAUCCAUUGAUGCUAAUUUGGAGUUAGCGGAAGAAGAAGAUUGUUUCAAUGUGUUCGGUUAUUUAAAAAAGUUGCGUCAAUCAAGAAAAGGUCUUGUUGAAAAUGUGGAACAAUAUAAAUUUAUAUAUGAUACUCUCGAAGAACAUGAAAUAUGUGGAAAAACAUGGUUUCCAGUAUCGGAAUUAUCUGACCGUCUAAAGGUAAAAGCUCGUCGCAAUCCUUUAACAAAAAUGAAUGAAUAUCAAGUAGAAUAUGGUCAAAUCUGUAAGCAAACUCCACGAUUUUCAAUAGGAGAUUGUGCUGGUGGUCAUAGAGCUGACAACAGAGAUAAAAAUCGUGAUGUGCUUUGUGUUCCUCCGGACAAUUUUAGACCGUACUUAACCUCUUUUCAAGGUAAUGCUUUUACAGAUUACAUCAAUUCUGUGUUUGUAGAUGGAUAUACUAAACCAAGGGAAUACAUAGUAACAGAAUGGCCAUUGAAACACACGUUAGGAGAAUUUUGGUCUCUUAUUUACGAUCAUGAAUGUUCUGUUGUUGUAGUGCUAUGUCAACCGCCUGUUAAUUCUCAGAAUUUUCCUUCAUUUUGGCCACAUAAAUCAAAAAUGGAAAAAUACGGACCAGUGUUUUCGGUUCACAAUAUCUCAUCAAAAAAUUAUACCAAUAUCAAGCAAUGGGAGUUCAAAAUAAAUAAAAAAAUUGUGUCACUGACUGAAAUGAUGGCAGGUGUCAAAGCUCCAACAAAAGCUGUUCAGCUUUUUCAACUUACAUGCUGGCCAAUGGGACAUAAAGUUCCUACUUCUACUAAUUCUUUAGUUUACCUAAUGAAUAUGGUAGAGCUGUGGAGACAAAGAGUUGAUUACGGUCCAGUUUGUGUUGUUUCCCCAGAUGGAAGAAGCCGUGCUGGAGUAUACUGUGCCGCUAAUGCUUGUAUUGAACAGGUUAUUCAACAUGGAGAAGUUGAUGUGUUCCAAGCAGUGAAAACCGUCCGACGACAUCGUCCACAACUUGUGGAAAAUAUGACGGAAUAUAAAUACUGUUACGAUUUAGUUUUACAUUACGUCCUUCAUUUUCUAAAUAAAACCAAAUAAUCGUAAAGAAACGCUAAUACCUUGUUAAGUUGAUUUAAUAGUUGUAUUAUAUAUAUAUGUGCUUCAAUAAAUACUUGGACGAAAACAUUUA